AUCCAAAACCUUUUCAAAGGCUGGUUUCGUGUUUUUCUACAGGUGCUUUAACUGUGACGUAUUCAGAAUGAAGUCCGCUGUGGCCCUUGCUCUUUUGUUAUGUGAGUUUAUAGUUAGUUUUGAGGCCAACGUUGUUGAAGAGUACAUAAUGUCAACUGUUGAGUUACAUUUAAGACGUUUAGAGAGCUCGAAGGUGGCAAUAUAAGAAAGUUAUUGCCAUAAAAGUUGAUAUGAAAAGAAAUGAUAAAUAACAUUUUUAAAGAACAUUAUAAGAAAAAAUGAUAUCCCCAAUCAAAAGGAGAUGAAAAAUAUUACAUAUUUUCUAUUUGAAAAUAAAUUUAUGAAAUAUAUGGGUGUUUUAAAAUCAACGUGGCUGAUGAUGGUUCAUUAUUUCAGCCACAUGUUGAAUAGAUAAGUGUAUUUUAGGACAAUGUUACAUGUUAACAAUUAUACUCCAUUUUGCUUUUAUUAAUAAAAAAAAUUUACAGAAAAAACAGACGAAAAAUAUUAAUAAGACAUGUUGAAUGAAGGAAAAGGGUUUACCUCUUAAAGGAAUAGUCAUGAAAUGUUAAUGAAAAACAUUUUACUUGUAAAAUUCACUUAUCUGUUUUACCUCUUUACAUAUUCAGUGACUCUAAAAAAAAUGUUCCUUUUCGUUCAAUAUAUGAUAUUUUUAUUGAGUUUGAUGUAUCUAGGUUUAUUUAUUUUGCAGGUUUGGUUGCACGUAAGUAAAAAUUUUUUUUCUGCUGCUGCUUUAGUAAAAAUAUGU
rnacentral:sRNA from 1 species